UUCAUGAGGCAAGGGAUUUCACGUCUGCCGGUGUCCGUUUCCUACCUGUAAAGUGAAGGUGCUGACAAGGACAAUUCCCAAGUUACUAGUCCGCGCCGGUGGCUCACCGCACCGCCCUCCCGCUCACAUUGUGGUGGAGGGGAAGCGUCCCUGGCAGUCAUCACGAGGAUGUUGAUCUUGCCGGAUGCGGACGCCAAAUCUCUGUGCUGCACAGUUCCAACUGUUCACUCUCAAUUUUGAUCUUGGCUUAAAGCAGGACCACCCCCCCCGUCUGCCACUUGCAGAAAAAAACGAACCGCUUACCGUUGCCACAGGUCACCAGCCCGCAGAUGUUACUACUGUCUUUAACUGGGCAUGAGCCAUAAAAGUAAUUUCACGUUUCAACUAAGGAAGUCGCUGGCUCAGUCACCGAGCGGUUUGGUCCCAGCUGUGAGUUGAUUGAUGGCACCGCAUCGGAGAACACUCUUAGGGGAGCUGUUUACCCCCAUCUUCCAUCUGGAGCUGCUGGGACAUAGUUCACUGUGAUGAUGGCUACUGAAUGAGCUGCACUGGCAGGACCUCAGUGACAAGGAAGGAUGGUGGCUGGGGAACCAGCCCAGAAUCAAAGGAUGUCAGGGAAAUGAAUGGAGCUAAGAGCAGAACAGCCAACUCUUCUCAAAUAUGAUGGGGUGGCAAUUCCAAAAGAAAGACGGUGCGCAGCUUUUCAAACUAUGAAAUGGGGAAAUAUUAUGUUCCUUUGUUCUUUCCCUUAGAGGUUACUUUCUAGAGAUUUAUUUCAGAUCAAGGGAACAUGCUACUUAUGACUGAAAUAUAAUAACUUGUUGACAGCUACCUAUUGUUUAUAAUAUAUUUGACCACAUUCCAUUAUCAACUUCGUUCAGGGCGGGCAGCCCAUAUUUAUCUGGGCACGUUAACAACCAGUAUAAGAGGUGCAGAUUUUCUAGAAAUCUGCAAAUAUUAUGAACUAGAUACAGGCAAAAGAGGUAUCUAUAGCUAUAUAAUUUAAAACAAUUUUUUCCCGUGUUAUCGGGGAUAGUCCAGAAAGGUCCAUAAGAACAGUGUAGAAAAGCACCUGCAAGAGCUGGCUAUAUGGAAGCAUACAGCCCA